rnacentral:rRNA from 1 species
AUACAUAGGGGGCGAGCGUUAUCCGGAUUUAUUGGGCGUAAAGGGUGCGUAGGCGGUAAAUUAAGUCUAAGGUUAAAGUGCAGGGCUCAACCCUGUGAUGCCUUAGAAACUGGUUUACUUGAGUUUGGUAGAGGUAAGUGGAACUCCAUGUGAAGCGGUAAAAUGCGUAAAUAUAUGGAAGAACACCAGUGGCGAAGGCGGCUUACUGGGCCACAACUGACGCUGAGGCACGAAAGCGUGGGGAGCAAACAGGAUUAGAUACCCUGGUAGUCCACGCUGUAAACGAUGAAUACUAAGUGUUGGAAAAAUCCAGUGCUGAAGUUAACGCAUUAAGUAUUCCGCCUGAGUAGUACGUACGCAAGUAUGAAACUCAAAGGAAUUGACGGGG